AACGAACGCUGGCGGCAUGCCUAACACAUGCAAGUCGAACGAGACCUUCGGGUCUAGUGGCGCACGGGUGCGUAACGCGUGGGAACCUGCCCUUAGGUUCGGAAUAACUCCCCGAAAGGGGUGCUAAUACCGGAUAAUGUCUUCGGACCAAAGAUUUAUCGCCUUUGGAUGGGCCCGCGUUGGAUUAGCUAGUUGGUAGGGUAAAAGCCUACCAAGGCGACGAUCCAUAGCUGGUCUGAGAGGAUGAUCAGCCACACUGGGACUGAGACACGGCCCAGACUCCUACGGGAGGCAGCAGUGGGGAAUAUUGGACAAUGGGCGAAAGCCUGAUCCAGCAAUGCCGCGUGAGUGAUGAAGGCCUUAGGGUUGUAAAGCUCUUUUACCCGGGAUGAUAAUGACAGGACCGGGAGAAUAAGCUCCGGCUAAAUCCGU
rnacentral:rRNA from 1 species